UAUAAGUGAUGGCGACCGGCGCACGGUGAGUAACACGUAUCCAACCUGCCGAUAACUCGGGGAUAGCCUUUCGAAAGAAAGAUUAAUACCCGAUGGUAUAAUAAAACCGCAUGGUUUAAUUAUUAAAGAAUUUCGGUUAUCGAUGGGGAUGCGUUCCAUUAGGCAGUUGGUGAGGUAACGGCUCACCAAACCUUCGAUGGAUAGGGGUUCUGAGAGGAAGGUCCCCCACAUUGGAACUGAGACACGGUCCAA
rnacentral:rRNA from 1 species